rnacentral:rRNA from 1 species
GUAGGGAAUCUUGCGCAAUGGGCGAAAGCCUGACGCAGCCAUGCCGCGUGAAUGAUGAAGGUCUUAGGAUUGUAAAAUUCUUUCACCGGGGACGAUAAUGACGGUACCCGGAGAAGAAGCCCCGGCUAACUUCGUGCCAGCAGCCGCGGUAAUACGAAGGGGGCUAGCGUUGCUCGGAAUUACUGGGCGUAAAGGGAGCGUAGGCGGAUAGUUUAGUCAGAGGUGAAAGCCCAGGGCUCAACCUUGGAAUUGCCUGUGAUACUGGCUAUCUUGAGUAUGGAAGAGGUAUGUGGAACUCCGAGUGUAGAGGUGAAAUUCGUAGAUAUUCGGAAGAACACCAGUGGCGAAGGCGACAUACUGGUCCAUUACUGACGCUGAGGCUCGAAAGCGUGGGGAGCAAACAGGAUUAGAUACCCGAGUAGUCC